rnacentral:rRNA from 1 species
AGUAUGUCGUAGGGAAGCGCCGAUGGAGGGGGGUAACUACUGGAAACGGUAGCUAAUACCGCAUAACGUCGCAAGACCAAAGAGGGGGACCUUAGGGCCUCUUGCCAUCGGAUGUGCCCAGAUGGGAUUAGCUAGUAGGUGGGGUAACGGCUCACCUAGGCGACGAUCCCUAGCUGGUCUGAGAGGAUGACCAGCCACACUGGAACUGAGACACGGUCCAG